rnacentral:rRNA from 1 species
UAGCUAGUUGGUGGGGUAAGGGCCUACCAAGGCGACGAUCGGUAGCUGGUCUGAGAGGAUGACCAGCCACACUGGAACUGAGACACGGUCCAGACUCCUACGGGAGGCAGCAGUGGGGAAUAUUGGACAAUGGGGGCAACCCUGAUCCAGCAAUGCCGCGUGUGUGAAGAAGGCCUGAGGGUUGUAAAGCACUUUCAGUGGGGAGGAGUGUUGAUGGGUUAAGAGCUAAUUAACUGGACGUUACCCACAGAAGAAGCACCGGCUAACUCCGUGCCAGCAGUCGCGGUAAUACGGAGGGUGCGAGCGUUAAUCGGAAUUACUGGGCGUAAAGAGUGCGUAGGUGGUUGAAUAAGUUAUCUGUGAAAUCCCUGGGCUUAACCUGGGCAGGUCAGAUGAUACUGUUUAACUCGAGUAUGGGAGAGGGUAGUGGAAUUUCCGGUGUAGCGGUGAAAUGCGUAGAGAUCGGAAGGAACACCAGUGGCGAAGGCGGCUACCUGGCCUAAUACUGACACUGAGGCACGAAAGCGUGGGGAGCAAACAGGAUUAGAUACCCUGGUAGUCCACGCUGUAAACGAUGUCAACUAGCUGUUGGUUAUAUGAAAAUAAUUAGUGGCGC